rnacentral:rRNA from 1 species
GACGUAGGGGGCGAGCGUUGUCCGGAUUUAUUGGGCGUAAAGCGUGCGUAGGCGGCUGCGCAAGUCGGGUGUGAAACCCCGGGGCUCAACCCCGGAACUGCAUCCGAUACUGCGUGGCUAGAGGUAGGUAGGGGAGAUCGGAAUUCCUGGUGUAGCGGUGAAAUGACGCAGAUAUCAGGAGGAACACCGGUGGCGAAGGCGGAUCUCUGGGCCUUACCUGACGCUCAGGCACGAAAGCUAGGGGAGCGAACAGG